rnacentral:rRNA from 1 species
CCCUUAGAUGUUCUGGGCCGCACGCGCGCUACAAUGGCAGACUCAGCGAGUUACCUCUGUCGAAAGGCACAGGGAAUCUUUACAGUAUCUGCCGUGAUGGGGAUAGGCCCUUGUAAUUUUUGGUCUUCAACGAGGAAUUCCUAGUAAACGCAAGUCAUUAACUUGCAUUGAUUACGUCCCUGCCCUUUGUACACACCGCCCGUCGCACCUACCGAUUGAAUGGUCCGGUGAAGUCCUCGGACCCAGUUGAACCUCGAGUUGAACAGGGAAAGUUGACUAAAUCUUACCAUUUAGAGGAAGGUGAAGUCGUAACA